rnacentral:lncRNA from 10 species
CCUUAAGUUUCUAACCUUCGUCCCUCAUCCUCACUCUCAGGUGAGAAAAUAGAAAAUCAGAAGAGAAUUUCAGUAAGAAUCUACCUGUCCCCCGUCCCUGGGCGUGUGCCCCAGCUCUCCCUCCUGCUACUGUGGAUAUGGAUGGCUUGUGCUCCUAUCAAAGAUGCACACCCUUAUGCCCUAGACUGUCCUCACUUAUUCCAGAACAUCAUUCCAACAACUGCUCUCCCAUUUCUCCAAUAUUAUCAAUUCUUCCCUCUCUUCUGGAAAACUCCCAACAGCAGUCAAAUAUGCUGUAAUUUCUCUCACUUUAAAAAAAAAAAAAAAAGGUCGGGCCUGGCGCAGUGGCUCACGCCUGUAAUCCCAGCACUUUGGGAGGCCGAGGUGGGCAGAUCAUCUGAGGUCAGGAGUUCGAGAACAGCCUGGCCAACAUAGUGAAACCCCGUCUCUACUAAAAAUACAAAAGUUAGCCAGGCAUGAUGGCGCACACCUGUAAUCCCAGCUACUUGGGAAGCUGAGGCAGGAGAAAUGCUUGAACCUGGGAGGCUGAGGCUGCAGUGAGCUGAGAUUGUGCCAUCGCACUCCAGCCUGGGUGACAGAGUGAGACUCUGUCUCACAAAAAAAAAAAAAAAAAAAAAAAGGCCUGGCAUGAUGGCUCAUGCUUAUAAUCCCAGCACUUUGGGAGGCCAAGGUGAGAGGAUCAUGUGAGGCCAGAGUUCAAGACCAGCCUGGCCAACGUGGUGAAACCCCAUCUCUACUAAAAAUAUAAAAAUUAGCCAGGCAUGGUAGCGGGCACCUGUAAUCCCAGCUACUUGGGAGGCUGAAGCAGGAGAAUUGCUUGAACCCGGGAGGCAGAGGUGCAGUGAGCUGAGAUUGUUGCCACUGCACUCCAGCCUGCCUGGGCGUUGGAGCAAGAUUCUUUCUCAAAAACAAACAAACAACAACCCCUCUUGAUUUCACAGACCCCUCCCACAGCUGCCCCAAUGUUCUGUUCUUCCUUAGAACAAGAUUCUUUCAAAAAGUUAUCUAUACUAGGCCGGGCACAGUGGCUCACGCCUGUAAACCCAGCACUUUGGGAGGCCAAGAUGGGCGGGUCACUUGAGGUCAGGAAUUCGAGACCAGCCUCGCCAACAUGG